GGAAAGGGCCGCCAAGGCCUGAUCAUCAGUCCACUGCUCAUCUAGCCCCCACUCCCACCCCUCUAUGCUGUCUAAAUACCCUGAGAGGAUGUCCUUCAUUGGGAUCCCAGAGACAGGGCAGACAACAGCCUCCAAUGUCAUGGGCAAAACAGAUUUUUCUAGGUUUGAGGUCUGCAGUGUGAAGAUCUGUGAAAUGCAAAAAGAGAAUGCUUCAGUGCCCAGGGCAAACAUAAGGGGCGGGGGAACUGCAUGGACUUCAGAAAAGAAGGGGGCUGGUUAGUGAGAGCAAAUGUAUGCUCCUUAGCUCUGUCCAAAGAGGAAGGGUAUUUCUUAUAAUAAAUGUCAUGCUCAUGACUGACAUGUUUUGGGCGUUUACUAUGGACUAAGCCCUAUUUCUAAGUGUUCUCCAGAUAUCAUCACGUAUAAUUCUAGAGGCAGUGUCAGCCCCCGGCCAAUGACCACCAUGGACCUCCCUGUAGUUGAACAAAGUUGGGUUUGCUGACUGGUGGCAGUGAGGGAGAAUGCACACCACAGGGAGCUGUGCAGUGUCUCAGUAAGAAGCCAGGAGCCAUCCCGUGAGGCCGUUACUGCAAACAAGCUGAAAAUCCUGCUUUGUUUCUUUUGGACACAACAUGCUUUCCUUCAGCUUCAGUAGACGAUGAGGCCAGCACCACAUGGGCUAGAUGUACAUGAGAUGUGAGCAACCACACUUCCCCUCUGACGGGGACAGACAGCAUCACAG
rnacentral:lncRNA from 10 species